AACGAACGCUGGCGGCAGGCUUAACACAUGCAAGUCGAGCGCCCCGCAAGGGGAGCGGCAGACGGGGGAGUGACGCGUGGGAAGCUACCCAUCUCUACGGAGUAACGCAUGGAAACGUGUGCUAAUACCGUAUACGUACUUCGGGAGAAAGAUUUAUCGGGGAGGGAGGAGCCCGCAGUGGAUUAGCUAGUUGGUGGGGUAAAGGCCUACCAAGGCAACGAUCCAUAGCUGGGCUGAGAGGAUGAUCAGCCACGCUGGGACUGGGACACGGCCCAGACUCCUACGGGAGGCAGCAGUGGGGAAUAUUGGACAAUGGGCGCAAGCCUGAUCCAGCCAUGCCGCGUGAGUGAUGAAGGCCCUAGGGUUGUAAAGCUCUUUCACCGGUGAAGAUAAUGACGGUAACCGGAGAAGAAGCCCCGGCUAACUUCGUGCCAGCCGCCGCAGUAAUAC
rnacentral:rRNA from 1 species